UACGAAGGUGGCAAGCGUUGUCCGGAUUUAUUGGGUUUAAAGGGUGCGUAGGCGGUCUUUUAAGUCAGUGCUGAAAUAUCCCGGCUUAACCGGGAGGGUGGCAUUGAUACUGAAGGACUUGAGUUCAGUCGAGGUAGGCGGAAUUGACGGUGUAGCGGUGAAAUGCUUAGAUAUCGUCGAGAACACCGAUAGUGUAGACAGCUUACUAGGCUGAAACUGACGCUGAGGCACGAAAGUGUGGGGAUCAAACAGG
rnacentral:rRNA from 1 species